UACGUAGGGCGCAAGCGUUAUCCGGAAUUAUUGGGCGUAAAGAGCUCGUAGGCGGUCUGUUGCGUCCGCUGUGAAAACUCGGGGCUUAACCCCGAGCCUGCAGUGGAUACGGGCAGACUAGAGGUAGGUAGGGGAGAAUGGAAUUCCCGGUGUAGCGGUGAAAUGCGCAGAUAUCGGGAGGAACACCAGCGGCGAAGGCGGCACUCUGGGCUGGAACUGACGCUGAGGAGCGAAAGCGUGGGUAGCAAACAGG
rnacentral:rRNA from 1 species